rnacentral:rRNA from 1 species
UACGGAGGGAGAAAGCGUUGUUUGGAAUCACUGGGCGUAAAGCGCGUGUAGGCGGCUUGGCAAGUCGGGUGUGAAAGCCCGGGGCCUAACCCCGGAACUGCAUUCGAAACUGCCUCGCUCGAGUCCCGGAGAGGAUGGUGGAAUUCCCGGUGUAGUGGUGAAAUACGUAGAUAUCGGGAGGAACACCAGCGGCGAAGGCGGCCAUCUGGACGGUGACUGACGCUGUGACGCGAAAGCGUGGGGAGCAAACAGG